GUGCUUGCUAUCGCUGACGAGUGGCGGACGGGUGAGUAAUGCUUGGGAACAUGCCUUUGUGAGGGGGAUAACUAUUGGAAACGAUGGCUAAUACCGCAUAAUGUUUACGGACCAAAGUGGCCCCGCCACCAAAUUUACUUUGAAAGCGAAACGGUUUUUGAAGUGUUUGAGGUAAAUUUGGUGGCGGGGUCACGCACAAAGAGUGGCCCAAGUGAGAUUAGCUAGUUGGUGAGGUAAAGGCUCACCAAGGCGACGAUCUCUAGCUGUUCUGAGAGGAAGAUCAGCCACACUGGGACUGAGACACGGCCCAGACUCCUACGGGAGGCAGCAGUGGGGAAUAUUGCACAAUGGGGGCAACCCUGAUGCAGCCAUGCCGCGUGUGUGAAGAAGGCCUUCGGGUUGUAAAGCACUUUCAGUUGUGAGGAAAGGGUAGCGGUUAAUACCCGUUAUCUGUGACGUUAACAACAGAAGAAGCACCGGCUAACUCCGUGCCAGCAGCCGCGGUAAUACGGAGGGUGCGAGCGUUAAUCGGAAUUACUGGGCGUAAAGCGCACGCAGGCGGUUAUAUAAGCUAGAUGUGAAAGCCCCGGGCUCAACCUGGGAUGGUCAUUUAGAACUGUGUAACUAGAGUCUUGGAGAGGGGAGUGGAAUUCCAGGUGUAGCGGUGAAAUGCGUAGAGAUCUGGAGGAACAUCAGUGGCGAAGGCGACUCCCUGGCCAAAGACUGACGCUCAUGUGCGAAAGUGUGGGUAGCGAACAGGAUUAGAUACCCUGGUAGUCCACACCGUAAACGCUGUCUACUAGCUGUGUGUGUAUUUUAUACGUGCGUAGCGAAGCUAACGCGCUAAGUAGACCGCCU
rnacentral:rRNA from 1 species